rnacentral:rRNA from 1 species
UUCCGGUUGAUCCUGCCGGAGGCUACUGCUAUCGGAGUCCGAUUUAGCCAUGCUAGUCCACCGAGCUUAGCUCGGGGCGGAUAGCUGAGUAACACGUGGCUAACCUGCCCUGUGGAUGGAGACAACCUCGCUAACGUGAGGACAAUAUCCAAUAGCAGAUGGUUGCUGGAAAGCGCCGUCUGUGAAAUGUUCCGACGCCACAGGAUGGAGCCGCGGCUGAUUAGGUCGUUGGUGAGGUAACGGCUCACCAAGCCAGUAAUCAGUAACAGCCGUGAGAGCGGGAGCUGUCAGUUGGCUUCUGAGACAAGAAGCCAGACCCUACGGGGUGCAGCAGGCACGAAACCUUCACAAUGCACGAAAGUGCGAUGGGGGGACUCCGAGUGUAAUCUUCCCACAAGGAAGGUUACUUUUCUGCACUGUAAGGAGGUGCCGGAACAAGGGGUGGGCAACACUGCUGCCAGCCGCCGCGGU